AUCCCAGUGCCCCUCGUGCCCUGGGCCGAUUCCCUCUCCCCCGCUCCCGCAACCUGGCUUCCCUGCUGAGGGGCUUGGGUUUCUUCCUCCAGAAAAGAGGGGCCGGAGGAGGACUUGAAAACAGGGGUGUCGUUUUCAGAUUUGCGUGUUAGGAAGGUCCCGGUGGCUCCUGCGAGGAGGAGGGACUGUAGCGGCGGAACUGGAGCUGAGGACGAAGUUCCGAGGCUGUCGGUACAUGGCAGGUGAGAGCUGAGGCCUGAACUAGAGCCGCGGCAGCGGGGAGGACAGGAGUGGAUUGAGAUUUUGGGGGAGGUGAAUGCAAUGCAGUGACUAGAUUGGGGGUGAGGGUGAGGGUGAGGAAGUCGUCUGGGGUGACUCCCAAGUUUCUGGCUUGGACAACGAAAUGGGUGGAGUGCGUGAAGGGGGAGCGCCAAAGUCAGCUUUGGACUUGCCUGAGUUUAAGGUGCCUGCGGGACACGGCCCACCUGAAGCUUAGGCUCCACAGACCGUGGAGUCGCAAGAAUGUAGUGGAAGCUGACGCCUUGAGGCAUAAACAUCUCAUGAAACAACCCAACUUCAGACGUUUUUCAUAGUGUCCCUUUACCCAGCAGUGGCGAUGGAUCAGAAGGGUAUGGACAAGCUUUCUUGGGUUUUUGGUGCUCCUUGUCAUAUCCUAACCAGAGACCCGGGCAGCCAGAGGCAGGAAACCCAGAAUGGAGAUGAUGCUUUCUAUGCUGCUAUGCCCAUCAAUGAAAUAAAUAAUGUAGAAAAGAGAACCCUGCUUAUACUUAGCUCUGCAUCUAUAAAUAAAACUCUAUAAAUUGUU